rnacentral:lncRNA from 1 species
GGAGAGGCAGCCGGAGCGGGCGAAGAGGAGGCACCGGCGGCUGGAGCAGCCUCGGGCACGCGAACCGAACCGAGCCGGGCGGGCGGCGGCACCUCCGGGCGGCUCGGAGUCUGCGGCUGCAGGCCGGCGUCCGGCGCGGGGAGGCGGGGAGCCGGGCCGGGCAGCGCUCCCCCCCGCGGCCGACGGCGGAGCGGGGCAGCCCCGCGCUCCUGCCCUGCCGGCGCCGGUAGUGGGGGACGGGCGGCUCCUUCCGAGCGGGCACCACCCGGCUCUCACGGAGCCCCAGACACCGGCCCGGGGCGCGGGGAGCUCCUGCCCUCCGUCGAGGGAACGGAGCUUAUCGAGAGGCCCCGGGGUCGUGCCGGAGUCCCCGGGGUGCUCCGGGGAUUGCACCGCAUCGCCUCCUCUCCGCCUUGCGGCCCCGCGAGCCGGCUGGCUCCCGCUCCCAGCCCGAAAGCAGCCGAGUGGCUGCUCCGCGACAGAAGAACCAGACCUGCACGUAGGAAAUCCACCAGUCCCAUCCACCUGUGCUUGUCCUGCAUGUGUCAGUCGAGGAAGUGUGCCUCCAGACAGCUAUCUAGGCACCUAAUGAGCCGUUUGCUUGCGGGGUUAUACACAUUUGCAUGUGGGAUCUUAUCGUAUGCAAAUACUGAUGGACUCUUGUCACGCUUUCAGCUCGGAUUGUUGUUUUUGAUAGGCAAAUUUAGCUGCCACUGUGAAGCGCUGUCCGGUCUGCCUGCGGCGAGCCAGCAAAAAAAACCAAAACCCCAACAACAACAAAUAAAACCCAACAUCCCCACAAAAAUACUAGCAAGGAAAACAUUUUGUGUUAGGACUCAUCUUUGCCUGAAAAUCUUUGAUCUAAUUGCAGUCUGUUCUCACCAGUGUGGAAUUCUAUCUGCUUCAAUCGCAGGAAAUGGGUCUGCAGUGCCAGGAGAUUCGAGUGAAGGUUUUCAUUCAAAGAGAUUUCAACUCUUCCAGUUUCCUUUAUGGAAAUACUGUAGGAGAAGCUAUGAGGAGAACUCCUGUUUUUACACUGUCUUGUAA